rnacentral:rRNA from 1 species
GAUGAACGCUGGCGGCGUGCCUAAUACAUGCAAGUCGAGCGAACAGACGAGGAGCUUGCUCCUCUGACGUUAGCGGCGGACGGGUGAGUAACACGUGGAUAACCUACCUAUAAGACUGGGAUAACUUCGGGAAACCGGAGCUAAUACCGGAUAAUAUAUUGAACCGCAUGGUUCAAUAGUGAAAGACGGUUUUGCUGUCACUUAUAGAUGGAUCCGCGCCGCAUUAGCUAGUUGGUAAGGUAACGGCUUACCAAGGCAACGAUGCGUAGCCGACCUGAGAGGGUGAUCGGCCACACUGGAACUGAGACACGGUCCAGACUCCUACGGGAGGCAGCAGUAGGGAAUCUUCCGCAAUGGGCGAAAGCCUGACGGAGCAACGCCGCGUGAGUGAUGAAGGGCUUCGGAUCGUAAAACGCUGUUAUUAGGGAAGAACAAAUGUGUAAGUAACUAUGCACGUCUUGACGGUACCUAAUCAGAAAGCCACGGCUAACUACGU